UAGCGUAUAAGAUUGGUGCUUGCAUCAUGAUUUACAUUUGAGUGAGUGGCGAACUGGUGAGUAACACGUGGGAAACCUGCCCAGAAGCGGGGGAUAACACCUGGAAACAGAUGCUAAUACCGCAUAACAACUUGGACCGCAUGGUCCGAGCUUGAAAGAUGGCUUCGGCUAUCACUUUUGGAUGGUCCCGCGGCGUAUUAGCUAGAUGGUGGGGUAACGGCUCACCAUGGCAAUGAUACGUAGCCGACCUGAGAGGGUAAUCGGCCACAUUGGGACUGAGACACGGCCCAAACUCCUACGGGAGGCAGCAGUAGGGAAUCUUCCACAAUGGACGAAAGUCUGAUGGAGCAACGCCGCGUGAGUGAAGAAGGGUUUCGGCUCGUAAAACUCUGUUGUUAAAGAAGAACAUAUCUGAGAGUAACUGUUCAGGUAUUGACGGUAUUUAACCAGAAAGCCACGGCUAACUACGUGCCAGCAGCCGCGGUAAUACGUAGGUGGCAAGCGUUGUCCGGAUUUAUUGGGCGUAAAGCGAGCGCAGGCGGUUUUUUAAGUCUGAUGUGAAAGCCUUCGGCUCAACCGAAGAAGUGCAUCGGAAACUGGGAAACUUGAGUGCAGAAGAGGACAGUGGAACUCCAUGUGUAGCGGUGAAAUGCGUAGAUAUAUGGAAGAACACCAGUGGCGAAAGCGGCUGUCUGGUCUGUAACUGACGCUGAGGCUCGAAAGUAUGGGUAGCAAACAGGAUUAGAUACCCUGGUAGUCCAUACCGUAAACGAUGAAUGCUAAGUGUUGGAGGGUUUCCGCCCUUCAGUGCUGCAGCUAACGCAUUAAGCAUUCCGCCUGGGGAGUACGGCCGCAAGGCUGAAACUCAAAGGAAUUGACGGGGGCCCGCACAAGCGGUGGAGCAUGUGGUUUAAUUCGAAGCUACGCGAAGAACCUUACCAGGUCUUGACAUACUAUGCAAAUCUAAGAGAUUAGACGUUCCCUUCGGGGACAUGGAUACAGGUGGUGCAUGGUUGUCGUCAGCUCGUGUCGUGAGAUGUUGGGUUAAGUCCCGCAACGAGCGCAACCCUUAUUAUCAGUUGCCAGCAUUAAGUUGGGCACUCUGGUGAGACUGCCGGUGACAAACCGGAGGAAGGUGGGGAUGACGUCAAAUCAUCAUGCCCCUUAUGACCUGGGCUACACACGUGCUACAAUGGAUGGUACAACGAGUUGCGAACUCGCGAGAGUAAGCUAAUCUCUUAAAGCCAUUCUCAGUUCGGAUUGUAGGCUGCAACUCGCCUACAUGAAGUCGGAAUCGCUAGUAAUCGCGGAUCAGCAUGCCGCGGUGAAUACGUUCCCGGGCCUUGUACACACCGCCCGUCACACCAUGAGAGUUU
rnacentral:rRNA from 2 species